rnacentral:rRNA from 1 species
AACGAACGCUGGCGGCAUGCCUAACACAUGCAAGUCGAACGAGACCUUCGGGUCUAGUGGCGCACGGGUGCGUAACGCGUGGGAACCUGCCCUUAGGUUCGGAAUAACUCCCCGAAAGGGGUGCUAAUACCGGAUAAUGUCUUCGGACCAAAGAUUUAUCGCCUUUGGAUGGGCCCGCGUUGGCUUAGCUAGUUGGUAGGGUAAAAGCCUACCAAGGCGACGAUCCAUAGCUGGUCUGAGAGGAUGAUCAGCCACACUGGGACUGAGACACGGCCCCGACUCCUACGGGAGGCAGCAGUGGGGAAUAUUGGACAAUGGGCGCAAGCUUGAUCCAGCGAUACCGCGUGGGUGAAGAAGGCUUUCGGGUGGUAAAGACCGUUUGUUGGGAAAGAAAAGCAGCAGGUUAAUACCCCGCUGUUCUGACGGUACCCAAAGAAUAAGCACCGGCUAACUUCGUG